GGGCAUGUGGUCAAAUGGCAAGAGAUCUCAUUUGCAUUGAGAAGGUCCCGGGUUCAGACCCCGGUAUGUCCA